rnacentral:rRNA from 1 species
AUUGAACGCUGGCGGCAUGCCUUACACAUGCAAGUCGAACGGCAGCAUGAUCUCGCUUGCUAGAUUGAUGGCGAGUGGCGCACGGGUUAGUAAUACAUCGGAACGUGCCCUGUAGUGGGGGAUAACUAGUCGAAAGAUUAGCUAAUACCGCAUACGACCUGAGGGUGAAAGUGGGGGACCGCAAGGCCUCAUGCUAUAGGAGCGGCCGAUGUCUGAUUAGCUAGUUGGUGGGGUAAAGGCCCACCAAGGCGACGAUCAGUAGCUGGUCUGAGAGGACGAUCAGCCACACUGGGACUGAGACACGGCCCAGACUCCUACGGGAGGCAGCAGUGGGGAAUUUUGGACAAAGGGGGCAACCCUGAUCCAGCAAUGCCGCGUGUGUGAAGAAGGCCUUCGGGUUGUAAAGCACUUUUGUCCGGAAAGAAAUCGCACUUACUAAUAUUAGGUGUGGAUGACGGUACCGGAAGAAUAAGGACCGGCUAACUACGUG